AAAAUAUUUGCAUUCCAGUACACCUAUUGGAAUCAUUUCCUAAAAAUACAUUUGAAAAGUAAACCUUUGGGUGAUUGAAGAACUGGAAUUAUUUUAAGAAUUAGCCCAAUUCAGUACAAAGGCACGUGACAAAACAGAUUUGCAAGUUUUGGAGGAGGUCAAAAGUGAAUCAUCAGAUUAUUCAUGCAUGGACGAUGAAGAUGAUAAUGCCUUUGACUUUGGCCAUCUGAGUCAACAAUCCUG
rnacentral:lncRNA from 1 species